GCUUCCAUCAUUGCCGCUGCUGCUGUCACCACUACUACCACUGCAGGGUUGCCUAGAAGCCGAUGAUCACUGUAAAGUUCCCCAAUGAAUUAAGUUUGGGCCAGGAGAUACUAAAGGAUACAAAAAUGGCAGACUCACUGCUGUUCUGGAGGUCUGUGCUAAACACACAUGGAAGAAUCUAUGCCAGGUACUCUGCCACCAUGGCAAAGCAUCCGAACAUGAAGAAGAUGGGUUUGAAUACCUGAAGAAUGUUGGGAGCUAAGUCAGUAUUGGUCCACAUCUGAAGACUGACAAAUCAUUUCAAGCAAAAAGAAAGCUUAAAGGUGUGAGAAAUAAAGAAGAGCCCACAAAGAAGAUGAAG
rnacentral:lncRNA from 1 species